rnacentral:rRNA from 1 species
GAGAUCGGGAUAACACCUGGAAACAGAUGCUAAUAACCGGAUAACAACAGAUGAUGCCUAUCAACUGUUUAAAAGAUGGUUCUGCUAUCACUCUUGGAUGGACCUGCGGUGCAUUAGCUAGUUGGUAGGGUAACGGCCUACCAAGGCGAUGAUGCAUAGCCGAGUUGAGAGACUGAUCGGCCACAUUGGGACUGAGACACGGCCCAAACUCCUACGGGAGGCAGCAGCU